AUGUUUGAUGAAACCGAGGCCUCCUUCACAUGGAUCUUUGAGGCUUUUCUAGCGGCACAUAGUGGAAAGCAACCUAGAACUAUCUACACCGAUCAAGACAUUGCAAUGGGAAAUCCCGUUGGGGAAGUAUUCACAGAAGCAUACCAUGGAUUGUGCACCUUCCACAUAAUGCAGAAUGCAGCCAAACAUUUAUGCCAUGUCAAAGAUCAAGAAGCACCUCCCCUAAAAGGGAAAAAGAAAAAUGAUGAAGAACCACAUAUUCUCGCAGAUUUCAGUGCUUGCAUGUUUGAGAUUGAAGAGAAGGAUGCUUUUGAAGAAGCAUUUGAUGUCAUGAGGAAUAAGGUGGAUAAGAAGACAUGGUUUGAUAGUAUAUACAAGUUCAAAGAAAAAUGGGCUGAAUGUUACACGAGGGAUGUUUUCUCAUUGGGUAUGAGAAGUACACAAUUAAGUGAGAGUUUCAAUAGUGACUUGAAGAAACAUUUGAAAUAUGAUUUCGAUAUCCUCCGGUUCUUAAAGCAUUUUGAAAGGGUCAUGCAAGUAAAAAGAAACAAGGAACUAGAAGCAAAAUUUGAAGCAAGGAAAAACAUGCCUAGAGUAAGAAUGAAGACACCUAUGCUGUUUUGCUAG
rnacentral:rRNA from 1 species